CCAGACUCCUACGGGAGGCAGCAGUGGGGAAUAUUGCACAAUGGGGGGAACCCUGAUGCAGCGACGCCGCGUGGGUGAAGGAGCACCUCGGUGCGUAAAGCCCUAUCGGCAGGGAAGAAAAGCGAACAGGUUCGCCUGGACGGUACCUGACUAAGAAGCCCCGGCUAACUACGUUCCCGCAGCCGCGGCAAUACGUAGGGGGCGAGCGGUAUCCGGGUUUACUGGGGGUAAAGGGAGCGUAGACGGCCAAGCAAGCCAGGGGUGAAAGCCCGGGGGCCAAACCCGGGACUGCCCUUGGAACUGCAUGGCUGGGGUGCGGGGGGGGGAGGCGGAAUUCCUGGUG
rnacentral:rRNA from 1 species